UCCCUGGUGGUCCAGUGGCUAAGACUCUGUGUUCCCAAUGCAGGGGGCCAGGGUUCAAUUCCUGCUUAGGGAA
rnacentral:tRNA from 1 species